rnacentral:lncRNA from 1 species
GUAAACUCACAAACAAGUUUCUUCUUUUUCAAAAUGUUUCAAGUGCCCUGGGAGCAUCACUCCCAGACCCCUGUCCCUGAAAAGUCUUCAGUUCCGGUUCACUCACUGUCCAGACAUUAGGUACGGGAGAGUUAAUGCCAGUUCCAGCUACAGUGGAAACUCCAGGCUUCUUGGGGUUACAGUGAGGACACCUGAGACCUGAUCCUGGGCAGUCUCAGUCAGAGUUAAACAUUUGAGUUGUUAGUGUAUGGUGUCUGCAGCAUGACCAUGCAGAAUCUAGAAUCUCAUCUCCUGGAUGUGGGGGGCAGAAAUUGAACCAAAGUCCUCUGUUCUACUGUUAUUUCCUCCCUUACCAAUAGGGUCAACUUUUAAUCCUAAUGUUUAAAGUCAUUUUUUAUCCUAAUGUCCAGUUGGCAAUUUUACUUUUGCACAUUGAAGAUUAAGUCUUGUUCUCUUGGAGGCAGAGGCAGAGGCAGAAGCAGAGGCAGAGGCAGAGGCUGAUCUCUGUGAGUUCGAGACCAGCCUGGUCUACAGAGUGAGUUCCAGAAAAAGCCUCCAAAGCCACAGAAAAGCCCUGUUUCAAGUGUGUGUGUGUGUGUGUGUGUGUGUGUGUGUGUGUGUGUGCGCGCGCGCGCGCGCACAAGUGUGCCUGGUGCCCAUGGAAGUCAGAAGAGGGCUCUAGAUUUGAGAAAAUUCCAAAUGUUUUACAAAGUGGCUUCAGCACUUACAUGCCCACCAAGCAGUGCAAGCGCCUCCUAAUCCCUCCUCUACUAAUACUUGUGGCUGUCGUUUCCACUCUAGCCAUCUUGAUGUUUGCUUUAAAAAAGAUUUUUUCAUUUAUGUGCGUGAGUGUUUUUCCUGCAUUUAUAUAGGUGUACCACAUGCAUGAAGUGCUUGCGGAGGCCAUACAAGGAAGGGCAUUGGAUCCUGUGAAACUGGAGUUGCAGUUGUGAGCUGCCAUUCGAAUCCUGGGAACCAAACCUGGGUCCUCUGCAAGAGCAACUAAUGCUCUUGACUGCUGAGCCUCUCCCCAGCCACACCCCCAUCCUUACUCUCCAGACACUGCUUUGUUCUGACGUCUAAGACGGGACACUCUGCUAGUUUGUCUUCUACCUCAAUUGACGCUUUUCCUUAGCCCCUGUGUGUGUUCACCUCCUUUUCCUCUUUUCUAUUCCUCCUGUUUCUUUACCCAGGUUCCAAAUGUUGGAAUGACCCCAGGCUUUGUCUAGAGACAGUUUCUCUAUUACAGAGUCUUGCUAUGUGAUGUCAUCUCCUGUGUUUAAAUAGUGUGUGCACAUUACUUGGCAUGAUCUCCAUAUAUCCAGUUGCUUACUUAACUCUUAGAUUGCCUUAUUCGAAACUUAAUGUUAACAAAGUCCAUAAGAACGCCUAUCUCCCCUCUCCAAACUUUAGACAAUGAAUCUGAUUUCCAUGGGGUUGGUUAACUGAUCCUCCCCAGUGCUGGGGUUAUAGGUGCGUAAGCCUUGAGAGUUCCAUGGUGACACAAUGUAGAUGGAUUUUGACUAUACAGUGACCAUGAGGACAUGUCGAGGGCUGAAGUGUGGCUCAGAGCAGAACAUCCUUCUAGUGCACACAGGCAUCUGACCUCAGGGAACGGCAAAGAGAAAGAAGGAGGGGACACGGUAGCCCUUUUCUAAGUGGGACAAUGGACAAAUGUACUCAGUGACACCUUUAAUCCCAGGACUCAGGAGACAGAGGCAGGCAGAUCUCUCUAAAUCCUAGACCAGCCUGGGCUACAUAGUAAGACCCUGCUAUUUUUUUAAUACUUUAAAAAUAAAAUUUGAAACAAUUUUUUUUUUUUUGGUUUU